UUCGGGUUGUCAUGCCAAUGGCACUGCCCGGUAGCUAAAUGCGGAAGAGAUAAGUGCUGAAAGCAUCUAAGCACGAAACUUGCCCCGAGAUGAGUUCUCCCUGAGACUUUAAGUCUCCUGAAGGAACGUUGAAGACGACGACGUUGAUAGGCCGGGUGUGUAAGCGCAGCGAUGCGUUGAGCUAACCGGUACUAAUGAACCGUGAGGCUUAACCUU
rnacentral:rRNA from 1 species